CUGGAGGGCCCGGAGGCGGCGGCUCCUCAUCCAGUAAAGCUAAACUCUUCUCCAGUGCAUCAUGAACAGGGAGGAAUGUCCGGGGUGCAAAUAGAACCUGUGUCACAUUUCAGAAGAAAUGAGGCGACGUUGCGGAGGUCCAGGCGGUUGGCCCGGUGGAGGUCCUGGAGGAGACGGUCCCGGCGGUGGAGGACGGCUGGGGGAUCCGGCGGUGGAGGUCUGAAGGCGGCUCGUGAUUAGACCAACCAGCUCCUCAUCCAUGGAAGGAUUGAAGGAGUCACUGGGGAUGAAGAUCACUGCUCAGGGGCUGACGACCACUCAUCUUUCCCGAGAAGGUACAUAAAUCUACAGCUGAUGUGACAGGACAUGAAGUUCUGCAGUUCAGAUCCGCUGAUAAAUGGUCCCAUACCGUAUCCACAGCGUCCUCAUGGUGCAGGCGGUCAAACCUCCACCUCUUUGAAGAGACCAAGCAGCUUGAUGACUGACUGGUUCUUUAUACUCAAGACCUCGUCCCGGAGCAGAGGACGGACCUAAGGCCCGCAGCGCAGCAGACUAGAGACUCCAUGUGGAACCGGUUCAAUUAAGUUGACCUCUCCUUCAGGAGACUUAAAGGGAGACCAGAUGUGCGGCAGCUGGGUGUCAUGGUGCAGAGACCCAACGCUGUACUGAACUACACCAGUGUGUCCUACUCCCAUAAACCCUGAGGAUCCCUGGAUGGCUACACCAGCACAUUAAUCCACACCCAACAUCAACACACAGUGCACACUCCAGAGCUCGUAAGUCCGCCCCUUGCGGCGGGACCUCGUGAGAUAGUAAGAUAUGACUGGGUUUCAAUGGAGAGAAAGUAAUUAUUUUCUCCAUUUUAUGUUGCACCACAUUUUGGGGGAAGAAUGUUUGAAUCAAUCUUUGUCAUUUAUUUCUGUACUCCAUAUCUGUAAUCCCAGCUGUUGUAUUUUAACACGGUAGCUGGGAACCUUCUUUAUAGGGAGCGACUAGAGGGACGAGGCUGGAAGCAAACCUGAGCCUGGAUCUUAACCUUCUUUCUAAACCUAAUGCCGCAAUUUAACCGCAAAUAAAGUGAGGCCUAAAGUAACUUGACUCUCUUACCUAAACUUGCUUGCCUAAACUCGCUUGCAUAAAACCUAAACUUGCUUGCAUAAAACCUGAACUUGCUUGGCUAAACUCACGUCGCUUGCCUAAUACCUGAACUCGCUUGCCUAAACUCGCUUGCCUAAUACCGGAACUCGCUUGCCUAAACUCGCUUGCCUAAACUCGCUUGCCUAAACUCGCUUGCCUAAUACCUAAACUCACUUAGCUUGACUCGCUUGCCUGUACUCCCUCGGCUAAACUCGCUUGCAUAAAACCUAAACUCGCUUGCAUAAAACCUAAACUCGCUUAGCUUGACUCGCUUGCCUGUACUCGCUUGGCUAAACUCGCUUGCCUACUACCUGAAGUCGCUUGCCUAAUACCUGAAGUCGCUUGCCUGAAGUCGCUUGCCUAAAACCUAAACUUGCUUGUCCAAACACGUUACACAAAGUUAACCAUCCAUAAUCUUUAACCCAAACCAGACUUGUCCCUGGGUCGCUCCACUUUAAUUGAGAAGUUUCUUCUUUUACCUCAUCUGCGUUUUGAGUUUCAUUCUUUGAGGGCUUGAAGUGCUUUGGAGGAUAUUUGAACCUUUGUUUGCCGCAUCAAUAAACAUGCUUUAUCUUUA